rnacentral:snRNA from 1 species
UUUUACUAAAGAUUUCCGUGGAGAGGAACAAUUAUGAGUAUAAACUAAUUUUUUGAUGCCCCGCCGUAAGGUGGGGCU